rnacentral:rRNA from 1 species
CGGAGAAUGUUAUCACGGGAGACACACGGCGGGUGCUAACGUCCGUCGUGAAGAGGGAAACAACCCAGACCGCCAGCUAAGGUCCCAAAGUCAUGGUUAAGUGGGAAACGAUGUGGGAAGGCCCAGACAGCCAGGAUGUUGGCUUAGAAGCAGCCAUCAUUUAAAGAAAGCGUAAUAGCUCACUGGUCGAGUCGGCCUGCGCGGAAGAUGUAACGGGGCUAAACCAUGCACCGAAGCUGCGGCAGCGACGCUGAUGCGUUGUUGGGUAGGGGAGCGUUCUGUAAGCCUGUGAAGGUGUGUCGUGAGGCAUGCUGGAGGUAUCAGAAGUGCGAAUGCUGACAUAAGUAACGAUAAAGCGGGUGAAAAGCCCGCUCGCCGGAAGACCAAGGGUUCCUGUCCAACGUUAAUCGGGGCAGGGUGAGUCGACCCCUAAGGCGAGGCCGAAAGGCGUAGUCGAUGGGAAACYGGUUAAUAUUCCCGUACUUGGUGUUACUGCGAAGGGGGGACGGAGAAGGCUAUGUUGGCCGGGCGACGGUUGUCCCGGUUUAAGCGUGUAGGCUGGUUUUCCAGGCAAAUCCGGAAAAUCAAGGCUGAGGCGUGACGACGAGGCACUACGGUGCUGAAGCAACAAAUGCCCUGCUUCCAGGAAAAGCCUCUAAGCAUCAGGUAACAUCAAAUCGUACCCCAAACCGACACAGGUGGUCAGGUAGAGAAU